rnacentral:antisense_RNA from 1 species
GCCGGGAAGGGCGCCGGUUACUAGAAAGCCGGGGAGGCGGGGCCUGGUCGGGUGGAGGGCGCGGCCGGCCGGCAGAGCGCUAGCCUUAGGUCCUGGAGGCCCUUUGGCUUUCCCCCCGUAUGCCGGGGGCUAGGAGGAGGAGGAAGAGCUUCCUGCCGGAUGAGGGAUCCGGAGGCCAGAAAGGGAACCCGCUCUCCCUUCCAAAGCAAAACACUGCCGACGCCAGGUUAGAUUUUUCGGGUGUUGGCAGGAGACUUUUUCCCCCAGUGGCAUCACUCGCGUUUCCUCUCCUGGUACGGGGAGAGAAGAGUUGCAAAGGCGCCUGGACCGCCAGUAACAUCCUCUCCCAUCUCCUGAAGGAGCGCGGCUUGGGUUGCUUCUUAUUGGUGGGUGGGCCUGGGGAGACAGGGCAUGCGCCCUCGGCCGGAGGAGGGAAGCGACAGGAGGUCGGGAUUUAUUUGCUCAUUUGGAGAUUUUCCCCUGGCCUUUUAUUAAAAACCAAGUGACAGUAUAAUGGAAGAUGGGGAAUGAAGCAUCAGAAAUAAACCAGGACCCUAAUUUGCAUGGAUUUCCUCGUUGGAACAACGUGUGACUACUACUUAUCUUCGGGAAAUUACUUCCCUUGAUGCGUUAAGGCACAUUUGGUCUACAUGAGAAAGCACAUUUCAGUGCUUCUACUGGAAAAGAGAUCUGUACAGUCUUAAUUCCUAGUAAUUCCUAUGUUUUAAUGAAUAUCCUUUGGAUUUGAAAUAAAAGCCAUCUUCUUGUUUCAAAAAA